rnacentral:rRNA from 1 species
ACUAGAGUAGCACUCGCAUAUCAAUAAGCGGAGGAAAAGAAACUAACAAGGAUUCCCCUAGUAACGGCGAGUGAAGCGGGAAGAGCUCAAAUUUGAAAUCUUAAAGGGUUUCCCUUUACGAAUUGUAGUUUAAAGAAGUGUUUUCUGUUGAGGUUUUGGUAAAAGUUCUUUGGAAUAGGACAUCAUAGAGGGUGAGAAUCCCGUAUUUGACCUUUACUUUCAACUUUGUGAUACACUUUCAAAGAGUCGGAUUGUUUGGGAAUGCAGUCCAAAAUGGGUGGUAAAUUUCAUCUAAAGCUAAAUAUUGGCGAGAGACCGAUAGCGAACAAGUACCGUGAGGGAAAGAUGAAAAGAACUUUGAAAAGAGAGUUAAACAGUACGUGAAAUUGUCAAAAGGGAAGCGUUUGACACCAGUGUUGUUUUUCUGAAAAUCAAUUAAAGAACUGUUUAUGCUAAGUUGUUUAGACUUUAUCAGCUAUCUGUUUAGUUUUGAGCUUUUCUUUAAUGCACUUUUCAGUUAACAAGUCAACAUCAAUUUCUUUUGCUGUAAAAAAGCUUGAGGAAGGUGGCUUGAGAUUCGUCUUAAGUGUUUAUAGCCUCUUGCCUAUGCAGUCGGAGAGAUUGAGGUCUGCAGCGUAGAUCCUUCGGGGCUAAAUGCAUUUGUGCUAAGUUAUAGCAUUUUAUAGACAACUUGUUGACUAUGACUUGUCUUGUAGCUUACUCGCUUAUGUUGUUUUACCUACGCUUAGGAUGUUGAUCUCUCACAGUCGAGC